UCGCGCGACGCGAAUAAGUUCGACUCGACGCAGCUCGACGUGGUGGCAGUGCGACAGUGAGAGUCCCGAUUCCCAUAGUUUUCGCGAGGCGGAUCGAGGUGCCUCGCGUAAGAUCGCGUAGUAUAAAGCAUGCGAGUCGGGCGAUCGUAUUCUAUCGGCACCGUCGAACUUCAUCGUCGUAUCCGGCAUAUCCCCGGCGAAAAAGGAGCGAGCGAAUCGCGCGGUGACAGGGUCGAUACGUUGACUUCAAGGGCGUGCGGCUCACCCACGCAGACGCGAAAUCGUGGAUAAGACGAUUAACGAGGUAACUCGCGAAACGUCGGGUGGAGCUUCGUCGAUCGCGUCGCUGUAUAGGUUAUGUUUCUUUGGCAAUUGACAAAUGCUCAAGCAACGCUACUACUAAAUAUGUAACACGGAAAGGAUCCAUAUGUAUGUGUCGAAACGGACUCUGAAUUUUUUAUGACUGGUGAUAUUUGGAGGAGUUGAAGAAGGAUUGUCCGGCCUGUUUGCAUGUGUGACAUUGAUUUGUCACGGAAACUGAUGUGACGUGGAGUAAAUGUAGUAGAGUUUAUGCGAUUUCAGCAUGAAUGUGAUAAAUAUUGAUGUUCCAUUUAUGCGCAGAUUUAUGCAUGCAACUUAAAUGUUUUCAAG